rnacentral:rRNA from 1 species
ACGAACGCUGGCGGCUGCUUAACACAUGCAAGUCGAACGGAGUGGCGAACGGGUGAGGAACGCGUGAGCAACCUGCCUAUGACAGUGGGAUAGCCUCGGGAAACCGGGAUUAAUACCGCAUAGUCAUAGAUGGGCUCGCGUCGGAUUAGCUAGUUGGUGAGAUAACAGCCAACCAAGGCGACGAUCAGGAGCCGGUCUGAGAGGCUGAACGGACACAUUGGAAGUGAGACACAGUGCCAACUCCUACGGGAGGCAGCAGUGGGGAAUAUUGCACAAUGGGGGAAACCCUGAUGCAGCGACGCCGCGUGAACGAAGAAGGUAUUCGUAUCGUAAAGUUCUGUCCUAUGGGAAGCAGUACCAUAGAAGAAAGCUCCGGCUAAAUACGUGCCAGCCGCCGCGGUAAUAC